UGAGGAAUAUUGGGCAAUGGGCGCAAGCCUGACCCAGCCAUGCCGCGUGCAGGAUGACGGCGCUAUGCGUUGUAAACUGCUUUUGUACAGGAAGAAACCCAUCUACGUGUAGGUGGUUGACGGUACUGUCAGAAUAAGCAUCGGCUAACUCCGUGCCAGCAGCCGCGGUAAUACGGAGGAUGCAAGCGUUAUCCGGAUUCAUUGGGUUUAAAGGGUGCGUAGGCGGAGUAUUAAGUCAGUGAUGAAAUCCUGCAGCUUAACUGUAGAACUGUCAUUGAUACUGGUAUUCUUGAAUAUAGUUGAGGUAGGCGGAAUGUGUAAUGUAGCGGUGAAAUGCUUAGAUAUUACACAGAACACCGAUUGCGAAGGCAGCUUACUAAACUGUGAUUGACGCUGAGGCACGAAAGCGUGGGGAGCAAACAGG
rnacentral:rRNA from 1 species